UUCGGCGGAAUGACAAUGCCAGUUUGUGGCCUCGCUGAAAAAGAAAACUCUUAGUGUUGAUAAACGAUCUCGACUUUUCAUAAAACGAGAUGAAUAAUAAAUAAUUAUGUUCUGAACAGAAAACGUCGCCUAGCAAGUGUUUGAGUUUUGGAUGAAUGUAAGUUAUUCCAAAACCUAGCAAUCUAAGUAUUUUAUUUCUCAGGAUAUAGUCAAGGCGGGUAUUGAAAGCUGGUUGAGAUUUUGUUCCCAAGAAUCGUAAUAAAAAAAUUUAAAAUUACUUUCGGCAAGUUCUUUCCGAGAGUGUAAGCUUCUGGAGCCUCGUUAGCUUUCAUAUCGAAUUCUCGUCAUAAAACGUCGACUUGAAAUGAUUUAAAAUGCGCUAUUGGUGGCCCAACCCCCGUUUUCCCCGCAGAAACAAUCAUACGAAGCAAAGUUGUAAAAGGAUGAAAAUUGUUCGACAUUACACCAAAAAGGUCUGUAAAACAAGUCAUUUGCAUGACUGGGACCGGUUCCUCGCAAAACGUAGUACGAAACCAUGCAAAUACAUUUUCAAGAAAUAGACGGGGAGACCACAUAUACCACUAUUUAAGACAGGGAGACUGUCUGAAACUGAAUUAUUACCAGAAUCUAAGGAAUCACUGAUCCGCGUAACCUUCCAUGGCCAAAUUGAAGAAUGAGUUUUAAAAAUUUUUAGUCAACCUCGUCAGUUGAUAGAAGAACUUAUCCCACAGUGAAACAAACAUUAAUACGCCUUAUGACUGAGGAGGUUUAAAAUAAGAGAUGGUUUGCUCUGAGGAUCCUUCUAUUAAAAUUUGACAGCUAUUUCUCAUGGUUUCCAGGUUUAAAGUUUGUUCAAAUUGUUUAUUCUUCGGCUCCACUGAGUGAGAAAGCAAACAAUCAGUGAUCCAGUGCAGAUUCACUGAACAAAGAUCAAAUUCACUGCAUCUAAAUUAAAUGAAAAAACAAUUCUUCAUCUUCAGUGUAGCGAGAAAUUACCAUAGGACAUUUGCCUCGAAAUCUUUCGCGAAUUGUCGAUCACAAAAUGUUUAGGCGCUGACCGCUUAAAUCGGUAUUAAAUUUCUUAUUACAAGCUGCGAAAAAUUCAGAAAUGUUCGUUAAAAAGUCCGAAGAUUUCCUUUCAUUAGCUUAUCGGCAAGGAAUGUUUCCACCAGAAGCAGGGAAAACCAUUGGGCGUGAAGUCAAUAAAAAUACCGCACGCUGAUUGGCUGAUUUCGUCAAACACUUGUCACGAUUUAAAAAUAACUCGAAAAUUACGUAAUGCGUUUUGGUGCUCUCCCAGCGCGGGAAUCUGAGAAUCUCGAAAAGCGUGUGGCGUUCUCGCGAAGUUUGUUCAAGAAUCUUGCUUUUUUCAAGUGGUUUGGAGAUUAUUAUGGUGAAACCAAGCAUUGGAGUUGGUUGAUAACAAAUCUUCUCUCGCGCUGGUGAAGUUAAGCCCCAUCCGGCGUAAUUGUUACACCUUACCAAUGCUCUAUGUUGGAAUUUACACAACAUGCCUACAGCCUUCGAACACGGAUCUUAUUUUUAGUGUUUCUUGCAUUCUUCGUGUCCACGGGACUCACCGAUACUCAUUCGAACGCGUGCACGGACGAGCAAUCGACCAGAAACAGGAAGUUAUUCAAUUUCCGAAAGUUUGGCAACGCUUCUGGGCUGGAACAGUGUGUGGAUUUCUGUUGCAGAGAUGACAUAUGCGAGCUGGCAAUUUUUUCGCGCGGAUUUCACUGUUAUGGUGUGUCGUGCGACGAACCAGAACUUUGUCAUAAAAUAUUGGAUCGCUUGUUGAUGGAAGAUGAAAGGCAACUGGUACGGAGUACGAGAAAUGCAGG